rnacentral:rRNA from 1 species
AGCGAACGCUGGCGGCAGGCUUAACACAUGCAAGUCGAGCGGGCAUACCGGGGUCUGCGGCGGACGGGUGUGUAACCCGUGGGGAGGUGACCACUGGUUCGGCCUACCUCUGGGACACUUGUGCUAACACCGGACACGCGCUAUUGCCGAAAGGCAUGCUGCCGGGGGAGCGUCGCGCGUCUGAUUAGCUAGUUGGUGAGGUAACGGCUCACCAAGGCCAAGAUUAGUAGCUGGUCUGAGAGGAUGAACAGCCACACUGGGACUGAGACACGGCCCAGACUCCUACGGGGAGCAGCAGUGGGGAAUAGUGGACAAUGGGCGCAAGCCUGAUCCAGCCAUGCCGCGUGAGUGAUGAAGGCCUUAGGGAUGUAAAGCUCUUUUAUCCGGGACGAUAAUGACGGUACCGGAGGAAUAAGCCCCGGCUAACUUCGUG